rnacentral:rRNA from 1 species
UACAGAGGGUGCGAGCGUUGUCCGGAAUCACUGGGCGUAAAGGGCGCGUAGGCGGCUUGAUAAGCGUGCGGUGAAAGCCCGGGGCUCAACCCCGGGUCGGCCGUGCGAACUGUCGAGCUGGAGCACUGUAGAGGCAGGUGGAAUUCCGGGUGUAGCGGUGGAAUGCGUAGAGAUCCGGAAGAACACCGGUGGCGAAGGCGGCCUGCUGGGCAGUGGCUGACGCUGAGGCGCGAGAGCGUGGGGAGCAAACAGG